rnacentral:sRNA from 1 species
GCUGGGUGCAGUGGUGCAUGCCUGUAAUCCGAGCGGCUCAGGAGGCUGAGGCAGGAGGAUCUCGAGUUCAAAGCCAGUCUCAGCAACUCAGCAGACCCUGUCUCCA